rnacentral:lncRNA from 1 species
CAGGGCUGGGCUCAUCUGGGACACCUGGGACUCUCUCACCUGGGUCUUUCAUCCUGGGCUUCUUCCUCUCAUGGUGGCCACAGGUGUUCCGAGGGGAUGAGGUUGGACACUACAAGGCCUGUGAAGGUGUAGGCUCUGAGGCUACAUAACUUCACUUCCACUGCAUUCUCUUGGUCAAAGCAGCAGACAAGGCUGCUCGGACACAAAGAGUGGAGAGACGCCUUCGUUGCUCUUGUCCCAUCUGUGUCCAGUUCAUUCCUACGAAGACAGCCACUCUCUAGGAGAGCCCCGACCAGGAAAGAAGUUAGUUUCAGGUGCAUCCGACUGGGGGAGACACAGAGGAGGCCUCUCAACAAAACAGGUAGCGAAUACGCCUUGGCGUCUAGAUGCCCAAUUAGCGGGAAGAAGAUGCAACUCCUGCACAUUCUUUGGUUAAUUAGAUCUGCUAUGAAAUCAU